rnacentral:rRNA from 1 species
AAGAACUUACCAGGUCUUGACAUCCCGAUGCUAUUCUAGAGAUAGAAAGUUACUUCGGUUACAUCGGUGACAGGUGGUGGCAUGGUUGUCGUCAGCUCGUGUCGUGAGAUGUUGGGUUAAGUCCCGCAACGAGCGCAACCCCUAUUGUUAGUUGCCAUCAUUCAGUUGGGCACUCUAGCGAGACUGCCGGUAAUAAACCGGAGGAAGUGGGGAUGACGUCAAAUCAUCAUGCCCCUUAUGACCUGGGCUACACACGUGCUACAAUGGUUGGUACAACGAGUUGCGAGUCGGUGACGGCGAGCUAAUCUCUUAAAGCCAAUCUCAGUUCGGAUUGUAGGCUGCAACUCGCCUACAUGAAGUCGGAAUCGCUAGUAAUCGCGGAUCAGCACGCCGCGGUGAAUACGUUCCCGGGCCUU